GAUGAACGCUAGCUACAGGCUUAACACAUGCAAGUCGCGGGGCAGCAUGGGGGUUGCUUGCAAUCCCCGAUGGCGACCGGCGCACGGGUGAGUAACGCGUAUCCAACCUGCCCUUCACCACGGGAUAACCCGGCGAAAGUCGGACUAAUACCGUAUGUUGUCCAUUGACGGCAUCCGAUUUGGACGAAAGGUUUGGCGGUGAAGGAUGGGGAUGCGUCCGAUUAGCUGGACGGCGGGGUGACGGCCCACCGUGGCGACGAUCGGUAGGGGUUCUGAGAGGAAGGUCCCCCACACUGGAACUGAGACACGGUCCAGACUCCUACGGGGGGCAGCAGUGAGGAAUAUUGGUCAAUGGGCGUAAGCCUGAACCAGCCAAGUAGCGUGCAGGAUGACGGCCCUAUGGGUUGUAAACUGCUUUUAUGCGGGGAUAAAGUGGCCCACGUGUGGGUUUUUGCAGGUACCGCAUGAAUAAGGACCGGCUAAUUCCGUG
rnacentral:rRNA from 1 species